GAUGAACGCUAGCUACAGGCUUAACACAUGCAAGUCGAGGGGAAACGGCAUUAAGUGCUUGCACUUUUUGGACGUCGACCGGCGCACGGGUGAGUAACGCGUAUCCAACCUUCCCAUGACUAAGGGAUAACCUGCCGAAAGGCAGACUAAUACCUUAUGGUCUUCACUGACGGCAUCAGAUGUGAAGUAAAGAUUUAUCGGUUAUGGAUGGGGAUGCGUCUGAUUAGCUUGUUGGCGGGGUAACGGCCCACCAAGGCAACGAUCAGUAGGGGUUCUGAGAGGAAGGUCCCCCACAUUGGAACUGAGACACGGUCCAAACUCCUACGGGAGGCAGCAGUGAGGAAUAUUGGUCAAUGGGCGAGAGCCUGAACCAGCCAAGUAGCGUGCAGGAUGACGGCCCUAUGGGUUGUAAACUGCUUUUGUAUGGGGAUAAAGUCAAUCACGUGUGAUUGUUUGCAGGUACCAUACGAACAAGGACCGGCUAAGUCCGUG
rnacentral:rRNA from 1 species